rnacentral:rRNA from 1 species
UGCCAGACUCCUACGGGAGGCAGCAGUGGGGGAUAUUGCACAAUGGAGGAAACUCUGAUGCAGCGACGCCGCGUGAGGGAAGACGGUCUUCGGAUUGUAAACCUCUGUCUUUGGGGAAGAAAAUGACGGUACCCAAAGAGGAAGCUCCGGCUAACUACGUGCCAGCAGCCGCGGUAAUACGUAGGGAGCGAGCGUUGUCCGGAAUUACUGGGUGUAAAGGGAGCGUAGGCGGGCGAGAAAGUUGAAUGUUAAAUCUACCGGCUUAACUGGUAGCUGCGUUCAAAACUUCUUGUCUUGAGUGAAGUAGAGGCAGGCGGAAUUCCUAGUGUAGCGGUGAAAUGCGUAGAUAUCACGAAGAACUCCGAUUGCGAAGGCAGCCUACUAAACUGCCACUGACAUUGAUGCUCGAAAGUGUGGGUAUCAAACAGGAUUAGAUACCCUCGUA